GAGUUAGUGGCGGACGGGUGAGUAACGCGUGAGCAACCUGCCCUCGAGGGGGACAACAGUUGGAAACGACUGCUAAGUACCGCAUGAUAUACAGAGAUCGCAGUGGUCAUUGUAUCAAAGAUUUAUCGCCGAAGGAUGGGCUCGCGUCUGAUUAGCUGGUUGGUGAGGUAACGGCUCACCAAGGCGACGAUCAGUAGCCGGACUGAGAGGUUGAACGGCCACAUUGGGACUGAGAUACGGCCCAGACUCCUACGGGAGGCAGCAGUGGGGAAUAUUGGGCAAUGGGGGGCCAACCCUGACCCAGCAACGCCGCGUGAAGGAAGAAGGCUUUCGGGUUGUAAACUUCUUUUAUCAGGGACGAUAAUGACGGUACCUGAUGAAUAAGCCACGGCUAACUACGUGCCAGCAGCCGC
rnacentral:rRNA from 1 species